GAUGAACGCUGGCGGCGUGCCUAAUACAUGCAAGUCGAGCGAACAGACGAGGAGCUUGCUCCUCUGACGUUAGCGGCGGACGGGUGAGUAACACGUGGAUAACCUACCUAUAAGACUGGGAUAACUUCGGGAAACCGGAGCUAAUACCGGAUAAUAUAUUGAACCGCAUGGUUCAAUAGUGAAAGACGGUUUUGCUGUCACUAAUAGAUGGAUCCGCGCCGCAUUAGCUAGUUGGUAAGGUAACGGCUUACCAAGGCAACGAUGCGUAGCCGACCGGAGAGGGUGAUCGGCCACACUGGAACUGAGACACGGUCCAGACUCCUACGGGAGGCAGCAGUAGGGAAUCUUCCGCAAUGGGCGAAAGCCUGACGGAGCAACGCCGCGUGAGUGAUGAAGGUCUUCGGAUCGUAAAACUCUGUUAUUAGGGAAGAACAAAUGUGUAAGUAACUAUGCACGUCUUGACGGUACCUAAUCAGAAAGCCACGGCUAACUACGUG
rnacentral:rRNA from 1 species